rnacentral:lncRNA from 1 species
CAUUCCUCAUUACUUCCCAGCUAUUCCAUAUCUAGAAAAGAUACGUGAACUAUUAAAUUCAGUAUGCAAUACUUAAAUACUAAAUAAUAGACAUAUCAUUGCUGUAUAUAUAAUUUGUAAAAGAAAAGAAAAGAAUGAAAACUUAAUGUAAGAAAACAAAAAGCUGUUUUAAAAUUGAAUCCUUCUGUGUUGAUAUUUUGGUUGUGUAUACUACACACAUACCCAUAUAUACUACACGCUGAAUUCUUAAGAACAUAAUAUGUUAUGCAUGUUUAAUCUUGACAGCAUCAGUGGAAACUUUCAAACUAUAAUUCUUUGUUGAUUAUUCAAAUUUGAAAAAUGAAUAAAAGAACGUAUGGCAAUGUGCAUAUAUAACCAAAAUAAUAUUUCAAAUGACCACACAACAUGGAGUCACAUUGAUACUGAUACAAUUACACUUUUGAGUUUUGAGGUUUGGAUUUUCUUUUUCUGCACUUUUCUACUGCUUUUCGCUUUCAAUGAGUUUUAGGUAUACAAUCACACGAAGAAAAAGCCAAUUGGCAAGAAAGAGAUCCAAAGUCUGGUUCGUUAUGCACCCUUCCGUUGAUAGGAUACACGGGUCAAAAGGAAGGCUUGAGUUCAGAGACAAAGUUGGCUCGGUAAUUGAAUUGUCAUGGUGUUGUGGGAGUCUUGUCCUUCAUCUUUAUCUGUGCA